rnacentral:rRNA from 1 species
UACGUAGGGUGCGAGCGUUGUCCGGAAUUAUUGGGCGUAAAGAGCUCGUAGGCGGUUUGUCGCGUCGACUGUGAAAACCCGAGGCUUAACCUCGGGCCUGCAGUCGAUACGGGCAGACUAGAGUUCGGUAGGGGAGACUGGAAUUCCUGGUGUAGCGGUGAAAUGCGCAGAUAUCAGGAGGAACACCAGUGGCGAAGGCGACUACCUGGCCUGUUCUUGACGCUGAGGCGCGAAAGCUAGGGGAGCAAACGGG